rnacentral:rRNA from 1 species
GACGAACGCUGGCGGCGUGCUUAACACAUGCAAGUCGAGCGGUAAGGCCCUUUCGGGGGUACACGAGCGGCGAACGGGUGAGUAACACGUGGGUGACCUGCCUCAGCUCUGGGAUAAGCCUGGGAAACCGGUCUAAUACCGGAUAUGGACUCCAUGACGCAUGUUGUGGGGUGGAAAGCCUUGUGCGGCUGAGGAUGGGCCCG